rnacentral:lncRNA from 1 species
UACUCUCCCUCGAAAUGUGACGACUUCCAUCCUAUAGACAGAAGUGUCGGGAGAGCUUGUUGAUACUCUCCCUUGAUAUGUGACGACUUCCAUCCCAUAGACAGAAGUGUCGGGAGAGCUUGCGAUACUCCCCCUCGAAAUGUGACGACUUCCAUCCCAUGGACAGAAGUGUCGGGAGAGCUUGUGAUACUCUCCCUUGAAAUGUGACGACUUCCAUCCUAUAGACAGAAGUGUCGGGAGAGCUUGUGAUACUCCCCCUC